rnacentral:rRNA from 1 species
UACGUAGGGUGCAAGCGUUGUCCGGGAAUUAUUUGGGCGUAAAGAGCUCGUAGGCGGUUUGUCGCGUCGGUUGUGAAAGCCCGGGGCUAACCCCGGGGUCUGCAGUCGAUACGGGCAGGCUAGAGUUCGGUAGGGAGAUCGGAAUUCCUGGUGUGAGCGGUGGAAAUACUGGCACGUAUCAGGAGGAACACCGGUGGCGAAGGCGGAUCUCUGGGCCGAUACUGACGCUGAGGAGCGAAAGCGUGGGGAGCGAACAGG